rnacentral:rRNA from 1 species
GACGAACGCUGGCGGCGUGCUUAACACAUGCAAGUCGAACGGAAAGGCCUGCUUUCCCUUGUGGAUUGCGGGUACUCGAGUGGCGAACGGGUGAGUACCACGUGAGUGAUCUGCCCCCAACUUGGGUAUAAGCCUGGGAAACUGGGUCUAAUUCCCGAUAGGACUGCAGGGUGGUGCCUGUGGUGGAACACGAUUUUCUAGUGGUUGGGGAUGAGCUCGCGGCCUAUCAGCUUGUUGGUGGGGUAAUGGCCUACCAAGGCGGCGACGGGUAGCCGGCCUGAGAGGGUGGACGGCCACAUUGGGACUGAGAUACGGCCCAGACUCCUACGGGAGGCAGCAGUGGGGAAUAGUGCACAAUGGGCGGAAGCCUGAUGCAGCGACGCCGCGUGGGGGAUGACGGCCUUCGGGUUGUAAACUCCUUUCGACCGCGAGGAAGCCACCUGGUUGGAAGGGUGGUGACGGUAGUGGUAGAAGAAGCACCGGCUAACUACGUG